rnacentral:rRNA from 1 species
AGUGAACGCUGGCGGCGUGCCUAAUACAUGCAAGUCGAACGGAGUGGCGCACGGGUGUGUAAUGUAUAUCUAAUCUCCCCUACACUAGAGGACAACAGUUGGUAACGACUGCUAAUACUCUAUAGUGUAGGAUGAGGCUAUAUUGUAUCAGCUAGUUGGUGAGGUAAUGGCUCACCAAGGCUAUGCCGGAUCACUAGUCUGAGAGGAUGAUCAGUCAAACUGGAACGGAGAGACGGUCCAGACGUCUUCGGGAGGGAGCACUAGCGAAUAUGGCUAAAGGGGGGACACCCUCAAGGCGCAACGCCGCGUGGAGGAUGACACUCUUCGGAGCAUAACCUCCUUCUGAUAGGGAAGCGGUACCUAACGAAUAAGCACCGGCUAACUCCGUGCCAGCAGCCGCGGUAAUAC